GGGCUGGGCGCGCUCGCACGCCCCUGAGUCCCCAGGCCCGUUUGGCACGCGCGGGAGGGGCGGGGCGCGGCGCGAGGCGUGUCCCGUGAGCAGCAGACACGGCCCCUCCAGACAAGUCACUCACCGCUCGGCCAGCGCUGCUGCUGCUGCUGGGCUUGAGGAGCCGGGUGCACGAGACUUUUGCAAUUGCAAAAUUAAUGUUUGUCUUUUGCUGGUGUUGCUGCCAAGAAUCCAUGGUAAUUAUGCAAAAGAAGAGAAAUGCUGCAUAGGAGAAUGUUAUCAGAAUUUAGGAUUAACAAAAAAGCCCAGAUAUGACCAAGGGGGCUGUUUGUAGCUGUGAUAGUAUGGAUGAAUGCAUUCACUGUCCUUAAUAAAAGAGAAGAAAAGAAAGACCUCAACAGAAUAUCACUAGAGACGCAGACUUUGCUCUAAGCCAUCUGCCCCUAUGUACUCAGGCUGCAAUUUUAAAACACUUUCUUAAUGCUUUUUCCCUUGAAACACAUUUUACACUAAGCAUAAAUAAAAUAAACAGUUUGACAUUUUAUGUGCAUCACAAAUAGAGAUGAGAUAGCUGCGAGUUAAUGCUUCAAACACUGAACUGCCUCUCACUUAAUAAUCAAGCCAGAAAGGGUCCUGCAGAAACUCAAAUUGAAGCAUAAAUUAGUACUGCAGUUUGUUUAUAAUAAAGUAAAAGUGAUGGAAUAUCACACUUCUUCAGUAACCAAGCACUUACUUUGAAAACUUCAUCAGGUAUGUGUCUUAUGGCUGCUGGCUGGAAAUAUGGCAUCACAUCUUUGUCAAGAGCUUUAAACUCUUUCUCAUUUAAACCAGCUAUUAAGACAAAAUAGGAA